ACUCAAAGGAAUUGACGGGGACCCGCACAAGCGGUGGAUGAUGUGGAUUAAUUCGAUGCAACGCGAAAAACCUUACCUACCCUUGACAUGGAUGGAAGCCUCGAGAGAUUGGGGCGUGCCCGAAAGGGAACCAUCACACAGGUGCUGCAUGGCUGUCGUCAGCUCGUGUCGUGAGAUGUUGGGUUAAGUCCCGCAACGAGCGCAACCCUUGUCAUUAGUUGCCACAUUGAGUUGGGCACUCUAAUGAGACUGCCGGUGACAAACCGGAGGAAGGUGGGGAUGACGUCAAGUCCUCAUGGCCCUUAUGGGUAGGGCUUCACACGUCAUACAAUGGUACAUACAGAGGGCUGCCAACCCGCGAGGGGGAGCUAAUCCCAGAAAGUGUAUCGUAGUCCGGAUUGCAGUCUGCAACUCGACUGCAUGAAGUUGGAAUCGCUAGUAAUCGCGGAUCAGCAUGUCGCGGUGAAUACGUUCCCGGGUCUUGCACACACCGCCCGU
rnacentral:rRNA from 1 species